CAUAGACACCAGAAACUGUUCUGUUUGUACAGGAAGGGUGACAGUGUAGCUCCAUCUUGGGGGUUUUUAGUGCAAAUUCACUUAAAUGCUUUGCCACAAGAAAGUAAUAAUCCCUUUACCCCAUUGCUUUCCCCUAGUUCAAACUAGUCCUAGGUCUCUACUGUUCUAGAAAGUGGAGACUUCACCUAAAUGCAAAAAGAACACUUAGUUCUUGUCUUUGCAGAGCUGGACCCUGGAGAUUGGAGAAGAUUUUUUAGGCAUAAUUUGGAAUAUAUACAGUUUUCUGCCCUGACUUGACCAUAAAAAUCCUCUUUUUAUUCUCUUCUGUCAAAAUAAGACGACUACUGUAUUUUAAAAUGUCCUCAAAUAGCCUUUCUGAAAGUCAAAAGUUCAUUAAUUUAGUGAAUGUAAUGGAGAAAUUGUUGAAUAGUUCUUAGGUUGAAAUUUACUACCUUUUGACUGAAAUGAUGCUAACUAAAACAGAAAUUUCAUGCAGAGGAUCAGUCAGUAUCAACCAAUUCCAUGGUUAGAAGGAAACUACAGGGCCAUCUUCAUGUCUUUAUAUAGUAUUUUUCUUAAAUCCUUAUUUGAUGAAAGUUUCAGGAAAGAUUUCAUGGUUUCUUUGGGUAUUCUUUCUGAAUAUUAAUGGGGUCCCUUGAUACAUACAGGUAUGUUCUUUGAAUUUAUAUGGGUAUUAGGGCCAAGAGUCCUAGGAUAGAUGAGUCAAGUGCUGUCCCUAAAAACAAGGCAGUUGGCCAUUCUUGGCCACUGUGCUUUUCUUAUACAGAAUGGGACAAAUUAUUUCUAGAAAGAAUCUUAGUAGUGAUUCAGUAUUGCAGAGUUGAUUAAAGGCUCUAGUUUAUAAUGCAUUUAUACUGUUCUAACAAAACAUUUUCAAGUUCUUAGGGCUAAACAAAGGUGCCCUCUACCUAUAUAAUGAGCUACUAUAAAGUCAAAAUCCAGUAAAAUCUACAUUUUAGCUUAGGUCUUAGUUUGGUAACAUCCAAACUUAACUUUUGGACAAAAUACUUACUUUCUUGGAUAUUUGUAAGGUGCAGUUGAUUUUUUUCACAUGAUCCUGAAGCUCAAGAGUUAAUUUCUCUAGGCUGUAGGACUUACAGGAUGGAGCUAAGACAACAAAAGCUUUCACCACCUGCAACAGAUAAUUUAUCUUGCUCUGUUUUUCAGACACAUCAAGGAUCUGCAACCAAUGCUGAACAUAGGUACUUACUGUUUGUUAAUAGCAGUUUGAGUGAUGACUGCAAAUGCCAGAGAUUGCUUCUGAACAAAGCUUGGAUACAAUUACAAAGUGAGGUUUUGAGAAUAAUUCCAGGUCCAUCAUCCAUAGCCUCAAUGAUGAACAAGACAUCCGAAAAAUAGGAGGAUUAUUCAAGCCUCGCCCCUCACUUCCUCCUCCCUUGUGAUCGGCAAUCUCGCACUUACAGACGGUGAACCCAAUGCUGAAGCUGCUCUGAGAGUGCUGGGCCAUCUUAGGAGAGCCUGUCGUCCCACUGGUGAAAUAAAUGGCCACUGGUUCUUGACUUCCUGUUUCCACACAGCUGUGCUCUUCAGAGGCGGAUCUGCAAAAUAUGGAUGGACCCCAAGAUGGUGGUGUAAGAUGGCCAGUUUAACUCUGAUAUUUCUUCUGCUCAGCUACUUAUGCCCUCUUGUUACCAGAAGAUAGUUAACAGAACUGAACCUAAUCCAAAGCUUUCCUGAGAGGGAUUCUCAAGAAAUCUUAGAGGGACUUGGAAGAUCAGUCUCUGCUAAAAUUUUACAGUUCUCCUUCUCCUUCUCCUUUUCUUUUCUUCUUCUUCUUCUCCUUUUCCUUCUCCUUGAGGGACUUGGAAGAUCAGUCCCUGCUAAAAAAUUUAACAGUCCAGUUCUUCUUCUUCUUUCUUUUCUUCUUCUUCUUCUUCUUCUUCUUCUUCUUCUUCUUCUUCUUCUUCUUCUUCUUCUUCUUCUUCUUCUUCCUCUUCCUCUUCCUCUUCUCCUUCUCCUUCUCCUCCUUCUUCUUCUUUUUUUCCUCCUUCUCCUUCUUCCCCUUCUCCUUCUCCUUCUUCUCCUUCUCCUCCUCUUCCUCCUCCUUCUUCUUCCUUCUUCCUUCCUCUUCUUCUUUUUUUAAGCUUCAUCUCCCUAUAGCCUAAAUAAAUAGCCAAGAUAACUUUCAAUAUUAAUAACAAAAGGACAUGCAUUUUAUCUAUUGUAAGAUUUUUUUUCCAAGUGCUUUUUAGAAAAAUCUACGAGUUUUUAAAAAUCAGCAUGGAAUCUUUGUAAAUUGCUGUUAAUGUUUCAGGAGUUUUUAUUAUUUAAAGGACAUCUUGUAUUAUUAAAAGACAUUUAGACUGUCCUGAUGGAGAAAGAGGC
rnacentral:lncRNA from 10 species